CGAACGUUGGCGGUGCGCUUAAUGCAUGCAAGUCGAGGGAGAACCAGUUGAUUCGUAAGAUUCGGCUGGGGAAACCGGCGAACGGGUGCGUAACACGUGAGGAACCUGCCCCGAAGACCGGGAUAGCCCGAGGAAACUCGGAUUAAUACCGGAUACCCUCUUUGGACCACAUGGUCUAUUGAGGAAAUGGUCCGCCGCUUCGGGAUGGCCUCGCGGCCUAUCAGCUUGUUGGUGAGGUAAUGGCUCACCAAGGCCGAGACGGGUAGCUGGUCUGAGAGGACGAUCAGCCACACUGGGACUGAGACACGGCCCAGACUCCUACGGGAGGCAGCAGCAGGGAAUAUUGCACAAUGGGCGAAAGCCUGAUGCAGCGACACCGCGUGCGGGAUGAAGGCCUUCGGGUUGUAAACCGCUUUCAGGAGGGACGAAAAUGACGGUACCUCCAGAAGAAGGCCCGGCCAACUAC
rnacentral:rRNA from 1 species